CUCUCUGAUCUGACUAACCUCUUUCAUUCUUUGCCCUGUGUUAUAUGGCUUAGACCAAAGUCUGAGACAUUUAACCAAUUUAUAAAUAUUAAAUGCAGAAGGCAUACCCUAUCAGUUCCUGGAAACAUCAAAGAAGCUGGAAGGGAAAUGGAAACUGGAUGGCACUUUGUGGAGGUCACUUUGCUGACAGUCAAGUAUUCAAGGGAUGAAGGCUCAGAUCAGUUUCAUCUAUAUGAUAUGCCUGUCUGACCUGGAGAACUUGGCGUUAAAGGAAAUGUGUUUAUCAAAUGUGUCAUCUUAUCCUUGGAAGGCAACUAAGGAUCAGAGCACAGCUGCCUUGAUUUGUUUCAUCGAGUUAUUCCGUUGCAGUUACGUGGAACAUCAAAAAAUGUCAAGAAGCCUAAAACGUGGAAACUUGUUUAACUCUCUCCAGCAAUGGCACUAACCAAAGCAAAUGAAACUUUGACAGAAGAAAGAAGCAAUUGUUUAGCCUUGUCAUGUCCUCACAGUUAAUAACACAAAGGGUAUAUUCACAGUGCAAAGAUACUUUCCCUUUCUCUCAAAAUAGGAGACAACAUAUUGUAAGAUAUUUUACAGACGUCCUUCCUCAUAGAACUCUGUAAACUGUACUGGCUCAAGAACAAAAUCAAAGUUUCAAUUCACAGAACCGAUUCAUCUUGCAUUUUAGGUAUUCUAAUGGUAUAUUUGUAUUGUGUGUUGCAACCUAUAGAAGAAAUGUACUUCUUCAUUUUUCCUGUUUGCUGAUGACAGAUACCAGUGGCUCACCUUUCGGUCUGUGAAUCAAUGAUUUCUUUUCAAAUUUGAAGUCUGAAUAACUAUGCACCACAAUAGCUGCCUUUGACCCAGAAUUUUUCUCUAAUCAUUAUCUUCCAAAGAAUUUUUCUGCAGUUCGUUAUCCUCUAAGUUCUGAAUCAUAUCCGAAACCUGUUACAACUUAAACUUCUGGCUCCCACUCUUAAGGACUUGCUGUUUCAUCAAAUCUUCUCCAUUUUUCCAUCAGUGAAACCUAAAAUAAAUUCAAAAUCAUAAGAAUGUAAGAGAAAACCUAAUGUUCUGUAUCAUGGCAUAAUUUUAGUUGAAGAAACCAAAAUAUCUGAAGGUGAGUUCUUCAAAUCUUAGGUGACAACAGUUAACUUACUACAAGCAAUAGAAAAAUUUAAAUAUUAGAACAAGUGCUACAAAAGAAUGUACAUUUUGGGACAGAAACUUCCAUAUUGGUAAAUCUGCCACCCUUCUGAAUAAUAAAUGAUUUGAUUUUACCUCC